GCGCGGUUAGCUUACUCGGUAGAGCUUUAGACUUUUAAUCUGAGGGUUGAUGUUUCGAGCUCACCAUCGGGUG
rnacentral:tRNA from 1 species